rnacentral:rRNA from 1 species
GUAGUGGCGUGUUCUGGACCCGAAGCGGAGUGAUCUACCCAUGGCCAGGGUGAAGCGCGGGUAAGACCGUGUGGAGGCCCGAACCCACUUAGGUUGAAGACUGAGGGGAUGAGUUGUGGGUAGGGGGUGAAAGGCCAAUCAAACUCCGUGAUAGCUGGUUCUCCCCGAAAUGCAUUUAGGUGCAGCGUCACAUGUUUCACAUCGGAGGUAGAGCUACUGGAUGGCCGAUGGGCCCUACUAGGUUACUGACGUCAGCCAAACUCCGAAUGCCGAUGUGUGAGAGUGUGGCAGUGAGACGGCGGGGGAUAAGCUCCGUGCGUCGAGAGGGAAACAGCCCAGAUCGCCGGCUAAGGCCCCUAAGCGUGUGCUAAGUGGAAAAGGAUGUGCAGUCGCGAAGACAACCAGGAGGUUGGCUUAGAAGCAGCCACCCUUGAAAGAGUGCGUAAUAGCUCACUGGUCAAGUGAUUGUGCGCCGAUAAUGUAGCGGGG